rnacentral:rRNA from 1 species
AGUAAUGUAUGGGGAUCUGCCCGAUAGAGGGGAAUAACUACUGGAAACGGUGGCUAAUACCGCAUAAUGUCUACGGACCAAAGCAGGGGCUCUUCGGACCUUGCACUAUCGGAUGAACCCAUAUGGGAUUAGCUAGUAGGUGGGGUAAAGGCUCACCUAGGCGACGAUCUCUAGCUGGUCUGAGAGGAUGACCAGCCACACUGGAACUGAGACACGGUCCAG